AGACGUAGCGUAGGCCUAAACUGCAGUCGAACGGCAGCACAGGAGAGCUUGCUCUCUGGGUGGCGAGUGGCGGACGGGUGAGGAAUACAUCGGAAUCUACUUUUUCGUGGGGGAUAACGUAGGGAAACUUACGCUAAUACCGCAUACGACCUACGGGUGAAAGCAGGGGAUCUUCGGACCUUGCGCGAUUGAAUGAGCCGAUGUCGGAUUAUCUAGUUGGCGGGGUAAAGGCCCACCAAGGCGACGAUCCGUAGCUGGUCUGAGAGGAUGAUCAGCCACACUGGAACUGAGACACGGUCCAGACUCCUACGGGAGGCAGCAGUGGGGAAUAUUGGACAAUGGGCGCAAGCCUGAUCCAGCCAUACCGCGUGGGUGAAAAAGGCCUUCGGGUUGUAAAGCCCUUUUGUUGGGAAAGAAAUCCAGCUGGUUAAUACCCGGUUGGGAUGACGGUACCCAAAGAAUAAGCACCGGCUAACUUCUUGCCACCAGCCGCGGUAAUACGAAGGGUGCAAGCGUUACUCGGAAUUACUGGGCGUAAAGCGUGCGUAGGUGGUCGUUUAAAUCCGUUGUGAAAGCCCUGGGCUCAACCUGGGAACUGCAGUGGAUACUGGGCGACUAUAAUGUGGUAGAGGGUAGCGGAAUUCCUGGUGUAUCAGUGAAAUGCGUAGAGAUCACGAGGAACAUCCAUGGCGAAGGCAGCUACCUGGACCAACAUUGACACUGAGGCACGAAAAGCGUGUGGAGCAAACAGGAUUAGAUACCCUGGUAGUCCACGCCCUAUACGAUGCGAACUGGAUGUUGUGUGCAAUUUGGCACGCAGUAUCGAAGCUAACGCGUUAGUUCGCCGCCUGGGGAGUACGGUCGCAAGACUGAACUCAAGAAUUGACGGGGGGCCGCACAAACGUGGAGUAUGUGGUUUAAUUCGAUGCAACGCGAGAACCUUACUUGUCUGACAUGUCCAGAACUUCCGAAUGAUGUGCUCGAACUCGACACAGUGCUGCAUG
rnacentral:rRNA from 1 species